UACGUAGGGUGCAAGCGUUUAAUCGGAAUUACUGGGCGUAAAGCGUGCGCAGGCGGUUUUGUAAGUCAGAUGUGAAAUCCCCGGGCUUAACCUGGGAACUGCGUUUGAAACUACAAGGCUAGAGUGUGACAGAGGGGGGUGGAAUUCCACGUGUAGCAGUGAAAUGCGUAGAGAUGUGGAGGAACACCGAUGGCGAAGGCAGCCCCCUGGGUUA
rnacentral:rRNA from 1 species